CAUUGUUUCUAUAAUACUGGGAAACUUCCAACUAUCCCAGUGGCACAUCCAAGUAGAAUGUCAUCCUCUUUCCCAGACAUUGCACGACGUGGGCGAACUUCCAUAUAUGUGACACGGAUGCACUUCUGUACAUGCAGGUACCUGUGUAGCCCAGAGUGGCAUCAAACUUGCUAAGUAGCAGAAAAUGGCUAUGAAUUCCUGAUCCUUUUGCUUCUCUCUCCCGAGUUCCAGCAUUACAUACAUGUACCACCACAUCUGGUUUAUGAAGUGCUGGGAUUGGAACCCAGGGCCUCAUGCAUGCAAACCAUGCAUUCUACCAACUAAGAUACAUCUCCAGCCCAGCUGGUGUUGGACCAUCGAUUGAUGUUUUUCCCUUGGCACCUUCAUAGUGAUCGCCAAAGCUAUGAGACCUAGCCUUCAGGGAAAGUGGUUUCAGUCUCUUUCAGGCCUCUCCCAUCCUUAAGUAGCCACUGGUCUGCUUUCUGUCUCUACGGACAAACUUGAAUCUUCUAGAAAAGAAAAUAAUGCUUAAAUUCACUAGAGGGACCUGGAGAGAUGACUCAGCAGUUAAGAUCACUGGCUGCUCUUGCAGAGGACCCAGAUUCAGUUUCCAGCAC